rnacentral:lncRNA from 1 species
CUCAAAUCUGAAACUGUCGUAGUUUUUCAAACGGUUUCAUGUUGUUUAACACGUUAAACAAGCAAGCACAACACUCUGAUAAUAGUUUUUGAACGUUUUCGUGAUCGAAGAAGUUGUAAAUACGGGGUGAGGUUUUGUCUACUGGCCUUGGCAGUUUCGAGUUUUGAAAAUUUUUAACUAUAGAAACUGUAAAAACUAUUUCUAUCUAACCCGGAAUAUAACAUUUGACGCUCAUACGUACCAUGUAUUAUAAAUUUGUUAUGACGAAACCAAAAAAUAAAACAGAAGGUCCCUUU